rnacentral:rRNA from 1 species
CGCGUCUGAUUAGCUAGUUGGUGAGGUAACGGCUCACCAAGGCGACGAUCAGUAGCCGGACUGAGAGGUUGAACGGCCACAUUGGGACUGAGACACGGCCCAGACUUCUACGGGAGGCAGCAGUGGGGAAUAUUGCACAAUGGGCGAAAGCCUGAUGCAGCGAUGCCGCGUGAGGGAAGAAGGUUUUAGGAUUGUAAACCUCUGUCUUAGGGGACGAUAAUGACGGUACCCUAGGAGGAAGCUCCGGCUAACUAC